UACGGGGGGAGCAAGCGUUGUUCGGAUUUACUGGGCGUAAAGGGCGCGUAGGCGGUCAGCACAAGUCAGUUGUGAAAUCUCCGGGCUUAACUCGGAACGGUCAACUGAUACUGUGCGACUAGAGUGCAGAAGGGGCAACUGGAAUUCUCGGUGUAGCGGUGAAAUGCGUAGAUAUCGAGAGGAACACCUGCGGCGAAGGCGGGUUGCUGGGCUGACACUGACGCUGAGGCGCGAAAGCCAGGGGAGCGAACGG
rnacentral:rRNA from 1 species